rnacentral:piRNA from 1 species
UACAAUUGAAGAAUGAAGACUCCAAGAUA